rnacentral:rRNA from 1 species
AUUGAACGCUGGCGGCAGGCCUAACACAUGCAAGUCGAACGAGUGGCGGACGGGUGAGUAAUGUCUGGGCAACUGCCCGAUGGAGGGGGAUAACUAAUGGAAACGGUAGCUAAUACCGCAUACCAUCGGAUGUGCCCAGAUGGGAUUAGCUAGGAGGUGGGGUAAUGGCUCACCUAGGCGACGAUCCCUAGCGGGUCUGAGAGGAUGACAAGCAAACCUGGAACGGAGACACGGUCCAGACUCCGACGGGCGGCAGCAGUGGGGAAUAGUGCACAAUGGGCGCAAGCCUGAUGCAGCCAUGCCGCGUGUAUGAAGAAGGACUUCGGGUUGUAAAGUACUUUCAGCGAGGAGGCGUUACUCGCAGAAGAAGCACCGGCUAACUCCGUGCCAGCCGCCGCGGUAAUAC